rnacentral:lncRNA from 1 species
AUCUCUCUCUGGAGGUCACUCCUCUUGGAGCACUUUUGGCAAGCCCAGGAUAUGAGUAAUUUUCCUAUUCGUCUCUGAUUAUUCCUUUUUGAGUGUGAUAGUUUCUUAUAUCUGUAUGCUUAUUUGCUCUACGUUUGCUAUCUGUACUAACUGUGUAAGCCUGUAGGAAAAGCAUCUGUUAUUGGCAGUGAGAAUCUGGCUUAGCAAGGUCAAAUCUGCAGCUGCCAAUUCAGUACCCCAUGAAGGCACAUAACUCUUAACCUAACUUACUUUCCUAAAUCCCUACCAAAAUUAAACAAUAUGAAAUAUCUUUUCUGAUGCUCACUUGUGUUUUCUUCUAAAAACUAUUUGAUUGUCUUUAGGUAAAUAAGAUGCGAUAUUGAGAAUUCUGAUAAAUGUGGACUUCUCAAUCCUUCAUAUAUGGAAAAAAAAUUAGCAACAUUAUUUUUUUUAUUCAAAAUUGAAAACCACCUUUGUUUUCAAGUAUGGAAUGAUAUGACUUGACAUCUAUUGGUUUAUUUGAAAAAAGACAAUACAUUGGCUAACAAACCUUUAUCUGUGCUAUAGGCUUCCAAAAUAGCUUAUGUUUUCAAAUGCCACAAUUCAACAUAUAGAUCACUUUUUCCAUUUUCUUCCACUUUAAGCCUGUGUGAAAAGUUCAAAAUCUCUAUAAAGCAAUCUUUUGAAAAAAAAAGGUAUUUGAAUUAGAAGGAUGUAUUUCAGGGACCUGUUUUCUUUUGUUUUAGAAAGAUUUUAAACUAGAAGGUAAUCGUGAAAAUGUAUUAUUUCAAAUAUCUAAAACAAAGACCUAUAAAAACAUAUUCCAGAAAAAAUGUAUCAUGAAUAUACCUGGUAUUAACUGCACUAUUUCUUACGGUAUUAAUACCCUCAUUUUUAUUUAUAAUAUUAAAAAAUGUACCAUCUGUCUCGCUGACAGUAGGAGACCGGAUUACAGUAGCCAUAAUAUGAUUAAUUUUUAAUAAAAAUCACUUCUAGUUAAUUAUAAUGUGAAAUGUCUACUGCAAAUUGAGCAAUUAUUUCACUGUUACUUUUAAUGCUGGCAAACCUGACACUUUCAGUAUUUUAUUUAUUUAUUUAACAGAGCAAUACAGCUCUCCUCUUUAAAAGUUAGGACAAAAAUCUUGUACAAUUCCUCACUGAUUCAACUUCUCAAGAGGCAAGUUUCUUUGCAGGCUGUUUGCUCAAGUGUACUUGAAACCAACUACUUCCUAAAAGAGAAACCUGUGUUGAUGACUUCCAAAUCUAGUUGCCUGUUGUGACCUCUCCUCUUCCACAAUUUAUCUCAUUAAUAAAUUUUCACCCAGGUCUUUGCUGAUGUAAUAAAAACCUUGUGUUCUAGUAAUACAAUUCCAGAAUUUUAUUCCUAGUCCCUCUCCUUUGUCAUAACAGUUUUCCUGUUUCUCAGAUGGAUGAAAGCUCAAGUUGUGUGCUUAUGUCUGAGGAACAAAUCUAAUGCCUUAUCUGCUUUUAAUUUGUAUGCAAACUAAGCACAACAUGUGGUUUUAAAUCAGCUGAGUUUGACAAGUUCAGAACAUAACAUUGUCUGUAAUUCAGGGUUAGCCUGUUUCAAGCCAGUAUAUUUUCUAUGAAUCCAGGACAAAAAUUAUUUUGAUGAAAUAUGAAACUAAGUAAGAAUUUCUACUCUCUGUUAAACAGAUUCCAAAUAUAGCUAGAGACAACAUUUCUAGUCUGUCUACAGGAUAAAGAAGUGUGAAAAAUAAAGGUGAGGAAGCACAAAGAAUGGAAAAUUAUUGUGAGAAAAUCAUAGUAAAAAAUUAGGAAAAAUUAUGAAAGCAGCAAAUGGGCAGUUCAUAUUGUGAGGCCACUAAUAUCAAGGAUUGGGAAAGUUAACAUGGCAGCUCCAGGAAGAAUAUAGCUGGUGUUCUUUGUGCUUAUUAAUUUCAGGUCUGGUAAUGUCC